AGCGCAGGCGGACCGGCAAGUUGGAAGUGAAAUCCAUGGGCUCAACCCGUGAAUUGCUUUCAAAACUGUUUUUCUUGAGUAGUGCAGAGGUAGGCGGAAUUCCCGGUGUAGCGGUGGAAUGCGUAGAUAUCGGGAGGAACACCAGUGGCGAAGGCGGCCUACUGGGCACCAACUGACGCUGAGGCUCGAAAGUGUGGGUAGCAAACA
rnacentral:rRNA from 1 species